rnacentral:rRNA from 1 species
UGGGGAAUUUUGGACAAUGGGCGAAAGCCUGAUCCAGCAAUGCCGCGUGUGUGAAGAAGGCCUUCGGGUUGUAAAGCACUUUUGUCCGGAAAGAAAUCCUUGGCUCUAAUACAGUCGGGGGAUGACGGUACCGGAAGAAUAAGCACCGGCUAACUACGUGCCAGCAGCCGCGGUAAUACGUAGGGUGCAAGCGUUAAUCGGAAUUACUGGGCGUAAAGCGUGCGCAGGCGGUUUGCUAAGACCGAUGUGAAAUCCCCGGGCUCAACCUGGGAACUGCAUUGGUGACUGGCAGGCUAGAGUAUGGCAGAGGGGGGUAGAAUUCCACGUGUAGCAGUGAAAUGCGUAGAGAUGUGGAGGAAUACCGAUGGCGAAGGCAGCCCCCUGGGCCAAUACUGACGCUCAUGCACGAAAGCGUGGGGAGCAAAACAGGAUUAGAUACCCUGGUAGUCCACGCCCUAAAACGAUGUCAACUAGUUGUUGGGGAUUCAUUUCCUUAGUAACGUAGCUAACGCGUGAAGUUGACCGCCUGGGGGAGUACGGUCGCAAAGAUUAAAAACUCAAAGGAAUUGACGGGGUCAUAGCUGUUUCCU